AUCUGGCUUAGUUAGGAGGCAGAGAUCGAAUUUUGAGGUGAUACUUCUGUGUCAUCUCAAUUUGAGGCCUUUUGGAAAGGACUCUUUUGUUAAUUUCCAUCAAUUGUCCUCCAAGAAGCCUUGGACAUCU